rnacentral:lncRNA from 1 species
AACUUCCUUACCUUUCCUCUUCUUAGUUUCCUUAGAAGAGGAUGCCAAAUGAGCACCUUCAGUCUUAUCUAGCUUUAUCCUUUCCUCUUCUUGCACACAGUGUGAAAUGAGCUCGUUAGGAGUCCAUUUCUCCUUCAGGCAGUUGUAACUGACCUUAAUCUGAUUAAAGUGUACAGGAAGAGAUAUCAAAACAAAGUACACAAGCAGUUC